UACAGAGGUCCCAAGCGUUGUUCGGAUUCACUGGGCGUAAAGGGUGCGUAGGUGGUUAGGUAAGUCCGAUGUGAAAUCUCCAGGCUCAACCUGGAAAUGGCAUUGGAUACUAUCUAGCUUGAGGAGUGGAGGGGGGACUGGAAUUCUCGGUGUAGCAGUGAAAUGCGUAGAUAUCGAGAGGAACACCAGUGGCGAAGGCGAGUCCCUGGACACUUCCUGACACUGAGGCACGAAAGCUAGGGGAAGCAAACAGG
rnacentral:rRNA from 1 species